CCCCACUAUACUUUGUCGUGAAGAACUAUAAUUAUAGCUCUUCACGACAAAGUAUAGUGGGGGACCAAUUCUAAGAUACUCUGAAACAUUAUUAAAAUAGCCCUGAAGAUAUGAGUUCCGUGGAAGAACAAUCUUCUGUUCCAAACCAGGUUCCUAGUGGAUAAUGCAAUACUAGCCAAUGCAAAGCCAAUAAAGAUGGAAAUGACAACUAUCUUAACUCCCCAAAGACUGAGCACAGGCGCAUGGACCCUCUUCAUAUAUUGAGCCAGCAAUCCAGGCCUUCCCCCACCAAUGCCUUUAUCAGAUU
rnacentral:misc_RNA from 1 species